rnacentral:rRNA from 1 species
GUCUCUUAAUUAGAGUCUGGUAUGAAUGGUUGGAUGAAAAAUUUACUUUCUUUUAUUUAUAUAUAAAAUUUGAUUUUUGGAUAAAAAAGUCUAAAUUUAAUUAUAGGACGAGAAGACCCUAUAGAACUUUACUUUUUAUAAACUUUUAUUUUUUUUAAAAAUAAUUUUUUAUUAGUUUAUAAAAAGUUUUAUUGGGGCGAUAAAAAAAAAUUCUUAACUUUUUUUAUAUAUUUCAUUUAUAUAUGAUUUUUUGAUCCUUUAUUAAGGAAAUAAGAUUAAGUUACCUUAGGGAUAACAGCGUUAUUAUUUUGGAGAGUUCAUAUUGAUAAAAUAGAUUGCGACCUCGAUGUUGGAUUAAAAUUAGUAUCAGGGGUAGAAUAUUGAUUACUAGGUCUGUUCGACCUUUAAAUUUUUACA